GACGAACGCUGGCGGCGUGCUUAACACAUGCAAGUCGAACGGAAAGGCCCUGCUUUUGUGGGGUGCUCGAGUGGCGAACGGGUGAGUAACACGUGAGUAACCUGCCCUUGACUUUGGGAUAACUUCAGGAAACUGGGGCUAAUACCGGAUAGGAGCUCCUGCUGCAUGGUGGGGGUUGGAAAGUUUCGGCGGUUGGGGAUGGACUCGCGGCUUAUCAGCUUGUUGGUGGGGUAGUGGCUUACCAAGGCUUUGACGGGUAGCCGGCCUGAGAGGGUGACCGGCCACAUUGGGACUAAGAUACGGCCCAGACUCCUACGGGAGGCAGCAGUGGGGAAUAUUGCACAAUGGGCGGAAGACUGAUGCAGCAACGCCGCGUGCGGGAUGACGGCCUUCGGGUUGUAAACCGCUUUCGCCUGUGACGAAGCGUGAGUGACGGUAAUGGGUAAAGAAGCACCGGCUAACUACGUG
rnacentral:rRNA from 1 species